rnacentral:misc_RNA from 1 species
GAUGAAGAACGUAGCGAAAUGCGAUACUUGGUGUGAAUUGCAGAAUCCCGUGAACCAUCGAGUCUUUGAACGCAAGUUGCGCCCGAAGCCAUCAGGUUGAGGGCACGUCUGCCUGGGCGUCACAUAUCGUUGCCCAAUGCCUAUUGCAGUGCAAUAGGAAUUUCUAGGGCGAAUGAUGGCUUCCCGUGAGCGUUGUUGCCUCGCGGUUGGUUGAAAAUCGAGUCCUUGGUAGGGUGCGCCAUGGUAGAUGGUGGUCGAGUUAGAACGAUACCGAUCAUGUGCAUGCUCCCCAAAAUAUGGCCUCUAUGACCCACACGCGUCUUUUGACGCUCAUGACGAGACCUCAGGUCAGGCGGGGCUACCCGCUGAAUUUAAGCAUAUCAAUAAGCGGAGGA